GAGUUUGAUCGUGGCUCAGGAUGAACGCUGGCGGCGUGCCUAACACAUGCAAGUCGAACGGAGUUUAUGAGGAAGAAGCUUCGGCGGAAUUCUUAUAAACUUAGUGGCGGACGGGUGAGUAACACGUGGAGAACCUGCCUCUUACCGGGGGACAGCAGUUGGAAACGACUGAUAAUACCGCAUAAGCGCACGAGACCGCAUGGUCCUGUGUGAAAAGAUUUAUCGGUAAGAGAUGGCCCCGCGUCUGAUUAGCCAGUUGGCGGGGUAACGGCCCACCAAAGCGACGAUCAGUAGCCGGCCUGAGAGGGUGAACGGCCACAUUGGGACUGAGACACGGCCCAGACUCCUACGGGAGGCAGCAGUGGGGGAUAUUGCACAAUGGAGGAAACUCUGAUGCAGCGACGCCGCGUGAGUGAAGAAGUAUUUCGGUAUGUAAAGCUCUAUCAGCAGGGAGAAAGACCUCGAAAGAGGGAUGACGGUACCUGAGUAAGAAGCCCGGCUACACGUGCCAGCAGC
rnacentral:rRNA from 1 species